UCGGAUUAUAGGUUUUGCAUUAUUCUCAGUUUUGCUAAAUCUCUACAAGUGCUUUCCAUUCCAACAAUCAUGUUCCCUCCUCAGAUGAACCCAAAACACAGCUGCUGAAUCAAGUGGCAAAGUUUUCCAUCUUUUGGAAGGGAUUUAUUUGCAAUGGUGCUUCAACAAAAUUUAGUAAAACAUAUUAACCCAUUUCUUGUGAUGCAAUUGGAAAUCUAGCUACAAGUAAAAAAGAAACAUCAUGGAAGAUCAACUGUUUCUAUGUAUCGAGGACUACUGCCGCUCAAUGAUAUUGAGAACACACAAUAUGGUAAUAUAAUAUCGAGGACAAGUACCGCACGAAAAUACAAAACCUGCAACGAAUAAACAAAAGUUUGAGCAAGCUAAUGAACAUGGUGAAUAUUUUUCAACAACAACCAUAACAGCAAGAACAAUUGGAUUCCGAAGAGACCUCAUUAUCCUGUGUUUGCAAUCAUCUUAAAUAGCAUCAACCAAGUAUAUAGCAACUGGAAUCACAAGCCAAAAUGACAGACUUGCAGCAAAAUGAUUUUUUCACAACCAAGUUGACAGAAUCUUGUUUGGCUUAAUUCUGCAUUCAGAGAAACCUGAUUUGUCCCUUCUUGGUACUGCAGGAGCUAGGAGUCACAGACUCACCAAAAUGAGCAUACGCUGGACAAUCACUGUUUCGCACUCCAAGUGGGUGUUUUAGGCGGUCGGAGACUUCGCAUUAAAUACAGGAAGAAAGCCUCAGAAUCAUGUAGCAAAACAAUCUACCAGAUUUUUCAAUCCUAAUCUUAUUUCAAACUUAUACA
rnacentral:lncRNA from 1 species